rnacentral:lncRNA from 1 species
AGGUCUCUAGACGUUACAAAGAACCCCGAACAACUCAAUCUACUAAUCUCCGAUACCACUUUGUACUUACGAUCUUGUAUCCACUGACUGUCUUGUUAGAUUAACCCAAUAAAUUUCAAUCACUCUACAUACUCAAUCCUGUAGAUACCUUUUUAAUCCUUCAAUCACAGACGUAACUCGAUUUCACAAAACAGUCAAGAGUAAUCAAACCCACUUCAUUAAAAAUCCCGAUUCACCAUUACAACACUGACUUCAGCAACGAUUGCCUCGGUCUUUCCAAAACCCUAUGAAGAAAAAAACCCAAUUCUCUGUCUUCUUUCCCCGCCCGAAGCAUCAAGCUCGCUCUCCCCAAUCUUCAAAAAAAACCUCCCAAAAACUUAUUCCUCCCCUAACUUUAUCCUCUGAAUUUCUUCAAUCUUCCGUCUUGGAUUCGGAAUUAGCUCCUAUCGUCAAAGCUUAGAUCCGAAAUUGGCUCCCGCCGUCAGAGCUUAGAUCCAAAAUUGGCUCCUACCGUCA